rnacentral:rRNA from 1 species
AAGAUUGUACAAUGGGGGAAACCCUGAUGCAGCGACGCCGCGUGAGCGAAGAAGGACGUCGGGUCGUAAAGCUCUGUCUUAAGGGAGGAAACGGACGGUACCUUUGGAGGAAACCCCGGCUAACUACGUGCCAGCAGCCGCGGUAAUACGGAGGGGGCGAGCGUUAUCCGGAAUUACUGGGCGUAAAGGGUGCGUAGGCGGCCUUUUAAGUCAGAUGUGAAAGGCUACGGCUUAACCGUAGUUAGCAUUUGAAACUAAAAGGCUUGAGUGCAGGAGAGGAGAGUGGGAUUCCUAGUGUAGGGGUGAAAUGCGUAGAUAUUAGGAGGAACACCAGUGGCGAAGGCGUCUCUCUGGACUGCAACUGACGCUGAGGCAAGAAAGCGUGGGGGGCGAAC